GAUCAGAAUUUUCAUGCCAUUUUACCCAUAGGCAAGGAAUGGGAGGAGAUUAAUCACAACCAAGCUAGCUGCGCCAUAAUCAAAUCAAAAUUAAAGCUGGUUAAUUGAUAAUUAGUAAAAUCUAAUAUAAAUCCUUCAAAACAAGGGAUGCUCGUGGAGAGUCUACUCCAUGUGACAGCUGUUUGUCGGCCACUUUGUCGCUCUAGACCCUGAAAUGUAAGCAAGAGUGAAGGCUCAGAGAUUACUGAAGAAAAAUACAGCUUUCCUCUCCUCAGGGCCCAUCACAGAACACAAGAGCAUCUGAAGUUACGAAUGAGGGAUGAACAGUCAUUACCACAGAGACCAUGCUUAGCAAUCAGAGAAAGUUUACAUUAUCCAGAGAUACUCCCAAGGAACGGAUCAUAGAAUGUGCAGCCUCUGACCACAUUAUCGUGGUGUCUUCUAGAAGAGUGUCACGGACCGCUGACUGUUUCCUUUUCCCCAUCUGGUCUCCGCAUCACUCACAGCGUGCCUCCUGCCUUCCCUGAUCUUCCAGGCUGAUGUAUAGCCUUCCUGGGAUGAGUAAAAUGUCAUCAUGUGUGAGCCAAUGUGCUACAAUAUCUGAGAGAAGGGAACGGUAGAAGAAAGAGCUGUGAACUCUUUUGGCUUUGUCUUAUAAACAGAAAUCUGGGUACAAUGUUUUGACCUAUUCUUAGAGGGAUAAUUAUAUCUUAUAUCAAAAAGUCAAUUGUCUUCUUUUGCUUACUUGUGCGUGACCCAUCCACAACUCUAGUGCUUUAAUUUAAUUUCAUAUAAUUAAGGUGGAAACAUACAUUUAUCUUUAAGUCAUAAAAAGGUUUAAAAACCUUUUUUAUGUGGUGAAUUAAAACAUUACUUUUCACAAUUUUGUUAACAUUAAAUAUGUUAUUGAAUGAAUAGUUCUGUGUUCCUCAAAGGUUUAAGAAACCAUUUAGGACUGAGGACAAUUGUUUAGCAAUUUACCAGUCUAAGAUCCUUCCAAAUUCUAUUCUAUUCUAGACUAGAAGAAACUUCUUUUUCUUUUUUAAAAUAAUUUAUGUUUUCAGUCUCUUUACAUCUCAAUCACAGCCCCCUCCCUCCUGCCUUCUCAGACUUACCCUUACAAAUCCCUUCUCCCAUUAUAUCCUGGGAGAUCUAGUACUGACAAGACUAGACAUAUCCUCUCCUGCCACCAAAGCAAUCUUUACAGGGGGAAGGGGAUCCAGUUGCAGGGAACAGACACCAAGAUAGCUCCCAUUCCACUUGUAAUUGAUUUAUUUGAAGACUAAGAUGCACAUUGCUAUAAGUGUAUAUGGUGUCUAGUUCUAUCUCUCUCUUCAUGCCCUCUGGUUGGUGGUCCAGGCUCUAUGAGCCUCCAUAGUCCCAGGUUAGUUGACUCUGUGGGUCUUCUUGUGGUGUCUUCGAUCCCUCCAGCUUGUUCACUUCUGUCUCCCACUCUUCCCCAUGACUCUCCAAGCUUGGCCUGAUGGUUGUCUGUGGGUCUCUACAUCUGCCUUCAUCCACUGCUAGGUGAAACCUGUCAGCAGACAGCUAUGCUAGGUUCAUGUCUUCAAGCAUAGCAGGGUAUCAUGGAUAGUGUUGGGUUUGCUACCUUACAUGGGAUAAGUCUUGAGUUGAGGCAGUCAUUGGUUGAAAGUUGCCUGAGUCUCUGAUCCAACUUUCUUCUUGCACAUCUUUGUAGGCAAGGCUGGCCAAAUGAGAUAUCCCCACUGGUACAAUCACGGAGCAAAUGUCAAUUAGUUUGUCUUGAUGCCUGAUUUAUCAGCUAUAAUCUACAGUUAGCAUCAUGGUCAAUCCUAAGAAUCUAUAUGUGUUUUUGAUCUCAGAAGCACUCCCGUGCAUGCAUACAUGCAUGCACAACCCCCCUAACAAACAUUAAAAAAUAUACUGGUAAAAUUUUGAUCU